GGAGAAUUACAGGAGCUCAGGACCAGGCUGGGCAACAUAGCGAGACCCUAUCAUUUACAAAAAUUAAAAAAUAAAAUUUCAAGUCACCAUUUGGCCAUGAAAUGUUCAUAUAUACCUAUUCUUUUAAGUACAUUUUCAAAAUCACAGUAUUCUACUUUCAGCAUGAAAUAUGAAUGGACAUGUAAGGACAAGAUCCAAAUCUAGAGGAAGAGGAAAUGAUGGAGAGAUUUCCCAGACAGCUGGACCUAUGAUUGUCCAGCAGCCCAGUGAUGAACAACCUCAACAAGAGACACCACCACCUAAAGGUUGGGAUAUUUCUUCCAUUCAAGAGAAAGGAGAUGAAGAAGUAUCUGUGGUUCAAGGUGAAAAGAAGGAGAAGAAGAAUGCCUAUGGAUGGAGGUUUAUGUGUGCAUCAUGCAUUAUGACAGAUCAAGAACAGAAGAGAGAGCAUUAGAGAAGGAUAUCAAACAAUUCCUAAAAAUUGACUUGAAAGUGAAGUGGGCUUGCAGCCAUGUGCAGUCCCCUCGUCAUUAUGAAUUUUCCCUUUCUCUUCAAGACUUACUUGGUGUGCUUGGAAAACACAGUACUUCUCAGAACUAAUCUCUAGUGAAUCUAAGAAAGCUAUUUAAUUUUAGUCAUAAAAUUGUACAUCAUUUCACUAGCUAAAUUUGAUAUUAGAACAUUGUUGCUGGAUUUUUAAAUCAUUGCAUUAAAAGUGUAAGCAACUUUUAAUAGCAUGUGUAGAGUGCCAAGUCAAAAUGUAAAGUGCCAAGUGAACAUACCUUGAAGCAUUCUGACUAAAGCCCCAUUGUGUAGAAAUGUUAAGCUACUUUGUAAAUGAGAAAACUGAGGCUAGGUCAUUGUGUCUCACCAAAGAGGAUGCAAAAUGAUAGCUACAGAAUUCAUGUUUCUUUCCAGAGUUUGUGUUCUUCCUACAAUCUAUGUUGCUUUAAGAAAAAGUGAAUGAUUUUGCUUAAAAUGCCUAAUACUCAAAUUUCUAUACUGUAAGAUAGCUCAGCACUGGCACAGGCAUAGAUCUAGUUCAAAGGAACAGGACAGACUCUGGAAAGGAGCUCAAUGAAUGAUGGCCAUUGUUUUCUUUGAUUUACAUUUUUUGUGUGGUAAGCUUGGUAAGAGCUGGAUAAUUCAGGGUACUGACAUACCUGUACAUGUUUUACUAUAAUUAUUUAAGUCACUUUUAAAGGUGGUUAAGUCAUCUUAUGGUGAGGAAGCUCAAAAGACUGAGUUCCUAAGAUUAACAGGAAAAGGAAUCAUUUUUUCCAGAUAGAGUAUUUUUAAGCAAAAUAUUUCCAUAAUUUAGACUGUGGAUUAUUUUAGUGGUUCAUUGUGAACAGAUUUCCAGAAUAUGACUCAAACAAUGCCCAUGCAUUUGUCUUCACCCCUUUUCCCUUAUUCUCAAUAGAAGACAGUAAUUUUGCUGUAUUCACAGAUAAUUUUUCUGUCGUUUUUGAUUCUUUGUUCUGCCUGGGAUUCAUUUGCGGAAAGUUACACAUAGGACUUUUGGAUAAUUUUAACAAAGUGUGUUUCAGGUUACUCCAAUAGUGGUGGAGGUCAUGACUAUAAGAUUUGCCAUGGGCCCUCAAAUCCAUUUGGCUGAUCCUUUAGAAAAUUAUCUUUUAAAUGUAAUUGAAAUCCUGUUCAUGGUGUAGAUUUCAGAUUUUUUUUGACAGCUGAUGUUUAUUGCUCUUAAUACACUAUGGGGAAAUAUAGGAAAUGUAGGUUCAGCAUGGCUCUUACUUCGUCAUUUAAAAUAGGGUUUCGUAAGACAUAUAGAGGUAACAAUGCUAUUUUAAUAGUAGAGUUUACACAUAAAAAUUCUUUGAAACGUAGUUCAGAUUCCAUAUAUACUUGACUUAUAAACUAUGAGAGAAAAAAAUUGGGUCAAAGCAAUAUUGUAUUAUAAAACAUGAAGGUAUUUACUUACUUUUCAGUGUCCUUUAACCAACAACAAAUAAUUUCAGGAUACUAUCAUAAUGGCCUGAUUGUUACAAAUAAAUAAUACAUUUAUAACA
rnacentral:lncRNA from 1 species